rnacentral:sRNA from 1 species
GUUGGGCAUGGUGGCACAUGCCUGUAAUCCCAGCAGCUUGGGAGGUUGAGGCAGGAGGAUCAUGAGUUCAAAGCCAGCCUCAGCAACUUAGCAAAGCUCUCAGCAACUCAGACCCUGUCUCAA